GAUUCGCUAGUAAUCGCGCAUCAGCCACGGCGCGGUGAAUACGUUCCCGGGCCUUGUACACACCGCCCGUCAAGCCAUGGGAGCCGGGGGUACCUGAAGUGCGUAACCGCGAGGAGCGCCCUAGGGUAAAACUGGUGACUGGGGCUAAGUCGUAACAAGGUACC
rnacentral:rRNA from 1 species